UCUCAAGUCAUAACUAAAUCCAUGAAUGGAUCUCCUAUAAGAUGACAGGAGAACAUUUGUAACACUUUCUAUGAAGCCUAUAUCUAUAAUGCAUACACUCAAGUCAUUUACAUUUUACAUUUUAGUCAUUUAGCAGAAGCUCUUAUCCAGAGCGACUUACAGUUAGUGAGUGCAUAAUUUUUAAUUUUUUUCAUACUGUCAUACACUCAUAAUGACUUAAUUGAGUUAAGUGUUAAGUUAAGUGCAGUUAUAAACACAUAAUGAGGGCUUAUUAUGUAUUUCUUGCAAUAAAAAAAGAAAAAUGCUACUAGUUUAUUAAAUAUUCAUGACUGCUAUUGCACGGCUCAUGUCCACACUUCUGUACAAUAGGGGGCAGUAAUGCACCAUAACGUUGGAUGCCAACUGUCUAUAAACCCCACUGAAGAAGAAAAAGCUACUCAUGUAAUGCAUGCUGGAAAGCAGACAAAACUAAUGAUUUGCAAGAGAUCUAAACACGAUUAAUAAGCUACUGAACAACAAGUCCAAGAAAUCAUUGCUAACCGCGUUUGCACUUUGAACAGAUUUCUCGACAAUAAUAAUGGAAGAUGUGACUGGGGCUCAGCUCAUUGCAGAGGCACUAAAAGCUCAGUCCAGGUGCGUGUCUGGUUGUGUCUGGACCGGGACUCAUCCAUGCACUUAGUGGAAUGGCCAACGCUAACAUGAACUGCUGGCCUGUGAUUGUUAUUGGAGGCUCCUCCGAUCAAAACCAAGAGACCACUGGGGCGUUUCAAGAGUUUCCACAGGUGGAGGCAUGCAGAUUGUACAAGAGGUGCCCUGUAGUCCACCUCCUCCUGUGAGUAUGGCUGACCAUAUGGCAAUCACAGAAGCACUGGCGGUCCUGAAAGGAGCCAAACGGACUUUCCUCAUCAUUGGCAAAGGUGCAGCCCAUGGAAGAGCAGAGGGUUGCUCUGAAGGAGCUGUGGGAGGGGUG